rnacentral:tRNA from 1 species
GGGCCCGUAGCUCAGCAUGGAUAGAGCGGCGGUGGGCCUCGACCAUCCCGCCGAGCCUUCUAAGCCGUAGGUCGCGGGUUCAAAUCCCGCCGGGCCCG